rnacentral:lncRNA from 1 species
AAAUAAAAUAAAUUUAAUUGAGAUUUGAGAGGUGUGAGUAUAGAGCCUUUUGUACUCAUAAAUUUUUUACCGUUUGAUCUACCCUUUAAUCAUUUUCAUCCGUUAGAUUAUACUAUUCAACCAACCACCCACUCAACCCUAGGGGGCUCACUAUCAACUUAACCAUAACCAAUCUCAUCCCAACCGCACAUUUUUUCAUCUGAACGACCGAAAAAUUAUGAGUACAAAGGGCUCUAUACUCAUAUAAGUAUAGUAGCCCCAACCUCUAUAUAUAUAUAUAUAUAUAUAUAUAGAGUUGAGCUAGAAUACUAUCGGUAGUAAACGAGCCGUUUUACUACCGAUUUUUUUUCGAUGAUAGAGCUUCCAAAUUGACGAUCGGCUCCGUUAAAUAUGAUCUAAACCAUUUAAACUACCUAGAAAUCAAAUUUCACGCUAUUUCGAUAUUGUUCUUUUAUCCAUCAAGUGAACAGAAAAAUGAAAGGCUGAAAAUGAAUACUCUUUAAAAAAUGAUGAUAAGAGUCUUGUAAUCAAGAUCAAGAGUAUAGAUCUUGUUUUAAAUAGUUUAAAGAAUUUUCU